GUGGGGAAUAUUGGACAAUGGGCGCAAGCCUGAUCCAGCCAUGCCGCGUGAGUGAUGAAGGCCCUAGGGUUGUAAAGCUCUUUCACCGGUGAAGAUAAUGACGGUAACCGGAGAAGAAGCCCCGGCUAACUUCGUGCCAGCAGCCGCGGUAAUACGAAGGGGGCUAGCGUUGUUCGGAAUUACUGGGCGUAAAGCGCACGUAGGCGGACAUUUAAGUCAGGGGUGAAAUCCCGGGGCUCAACCCCGGAACUGCCUUUGAUACUGGGUGUCUGGAGUAUGGAAGAGGUAAGUGGAAUUCCGAGUGUAGAGGUGAAAUUCGUAGAUAUUCGGAGGAACACCAGUGGCGAAGGCGGCUCACUGGCUCGAUACUGACGCUGAGGUGCGAAAGCGUGGGGAGCAAACAGGAUUAGAUACCCCUGUAGUCC
rnacentral:rRNA from 1 species